rnacentral:rRNA from 1 species
GACGAACGCUGGCGGCGUGCUUAACACAUGCAAGUCGAACGGAAAGGCCCUUCUUUUGUGGGGUGCUCGAGUGGCGAACGGGUGAGUAACACGUGAGUAACCUUCCCUUGACUUUGGGAUAACUUCAGGAAACUGGGGCUAAUACCGGAUAGGAGCUCCUGCUGCAUGGUGGGGGUUGGAAAGUUUCGGCGGUUGGGGAUGGACUCGCGGCUUAUCAGCUUGUUGGUGGGGUAGUGGCUUACCAAGGCUUUGACGGGUAGCCGGCCUGAGAGGGUGACCGGCAAAAUUGGGACUGAGAUACGGCCCAGACUCCUACGGGAGGAAGAAGGGGGGAAAAUGGAAAAAUGGGCGGAAGCCUGAGGAAGAAACGCCGGGUGCGGGAUGACGGCCUUCGGGUGGUAAACCGCUUUCGCCUGUGACGAAGCGGGAGUGACGGUAAUGGGUAAAGAAGCACCGGCUAACUACGUG